CCAAAGGAGCAAUCCGCUGAAAGAUGGGCUCAUAUCUGAUUAGUUAGUUGGCAGGGUAACGGCCUACCAAGACUGCGAUCAGUAGCCGGACUGAGAGGUUGAACGGCCACAUUGGGACUGAGAUACGGCCCAGACUCCUACGGGAGGCAGCAGUGGGGAAUAUUGGGCAAUGGGCGAAAGCCUGACCCAGCAACGCCGCGUGAAGGAAGAAGGUCUUCGGAUUGUAAACUUCUUUUAUGAGGGACGAAGGACGUGACGGUACCUCAUGAAUAAGCCACGGCUAACUACGUGCCAGCAGCCGCGGUAAUACGUAGGUGGCAAGCGUUAUCCGGAUUUACUGGGUGUAAAGGGCGCGUAGGCGGGGAUGCAAGUCAGAUGUGAAAUCUAUGGGCUUAACUCAUAAACUGCAUUUGAAACUGUAUCUCUUGAGUGCUGGAGAGGUAGACGGAAUUCCUUGUGUAGCGGUGAAAUGCGUAGAUAUAAGGAAGAACACCAGUGGCGAAGGCGGUCUACUGGACAGUAACUGACGCUGAGGCGCGAGAGCGUGGGGAGCAAACAGGAUUAGAUACCCUGGUAGUCC
rnacentral:rRNA from 1 species